rnacentral:tRNA from 1 species
UUCAAUAUAGCAAAAUAAUUAUGCAUUAAUUUUAGAUUUUAAAGAUGAAAUAACCUCUAUUGAA